rnacentral:lncRNA from 1 species
CUGGAUCAAGAAUGUUAAAUAAAAUAUGUUUUUGUAAAUUUGGACGACAUUUGACUUGCAAUUAUGUACCAUUUACUACACUGGAUGUAGUACAGACUUGCAGUCCCGUACCAUUUCAACACUUGAAGAAGUACGUUUGUCUGAGCGAAGCCAAUUGGAAGUAUGUACCUCUUAGUGAAGCUAAUUGGGAGCACACCCUCUGUCUUGUUGCGAAGCUGAUUGGAAGCAGUACAUAUAUACCUCUGU